UUGGUCAUUUUACCUCAACGUUUUCUAACGAUGAAAAUUUUACAGUUAAUUGAAUACAUGAAGCACAAAGUAAAAUUGCUUUGAAGUUACAUUGGACGCCUUCUCAUAUUCUAAUAUUCUGUUCAACAAGCCGAGUCACUAUAAUAUAGAUCAGUGCUUCCAAAUAUUACUGGUUCGUAUACUGCCGCCGCUACUGUACUGCAGUGUCUGUAACUAAGAUUCUCUCUAAAGAUAGUUUUUCUUCAUAUUGCUGGCAAAUAUGGUAAUGUUUUUAGCAAUGAUGAAGAUGAGAGAGAGAUUGUGUGGUGAAGAAGAUGAAUCAUUGAAGUGAUUCUAUUGUCAUCAAAGACAGAUAAAACCACAGAAGUAAUUUGCUUGGCCAACUUUUAGAGAAUAAAACAAGGAGUUUCAUUGCUUGAGAGGCUAGUUAUGAAAGGUAAUUAGAGGAAUUGGUAAGAAGAACUAAGUGCGAACUCUGAGGAGAUGAUCAAAGUUACAGCAGCAGCAGCAGCAACAACAUCUGUAGUGACGUUGAUGCUUGAGGGGAAGGAAGAAGGAGAAGAAUUACAUCUUAUUGAUGUUCUCAAUGACAACGUCAUUAAUUUUUUUUUUUUAAUGUUUGUUUAUAACUGAAUACUUCACAUACUCUUACAAACGCAUGCACACACGAUACGUGUAUAUCUACACAUAUAUAUGUAUCUCUGCAUUCGUGUGCAUCAUUGUUUUAUCUGCGUGUGUGUGUUUGUGUGUGUGUGCCUAUGUGUGAGUGUAUUUGUUUCCCUUAUUAGAACGAAUGAAGACGUUAAAGAAUGUAUUUUACGUUCAUUUCUUCAAUAUUCUGAACAGUUGUAUCCU
rnacentral:lncRNA from 1 species